ACAGAGGGUGCGAGCGUUGUCCGGAAUCACUGGGCGUAAAGCGCACGUAGGCGGCUUUGUAAGUUAGAGGUGAAAGCCCGGAGCUCAACUCCGGAAUUGCCUUUAAGACUGCAUCGCUAGAAUUGUGGAGAGGUGAGUGGAAUUCCGAGUGUAGAGGUGAAAUUCGUAGAUAUUCGGAAGAACACCAGUGGCGAAGGCGACUCACUGGACACAUAUUGACGCUGAGGUGCGAAAGCGUGGGGAGCAAACAGGA
rnacentral:rRNA from 1 species